GACGAACGCUGGCGGCGUGCUUAACACAUGCAAGUCGAACGGUAAGGCCCCAGCUUGCUGGAGUACACGAGUGGCGAACGGGUGAGUAACACGUGGGUGACCUGCCCCGCACUUCGGGAUAAGCCUGGGAAACUGGGUCUAAUACCGGCAAGGACCGCACCGCGUGGGUUGGGCGGACAGUUUUUUGGUGUGGGAUGGGCGCGCGGCCCUUCAGCUUGUUGGUGGGGUAAUGGCCCACCAAGGCGGCGACGGGUAGCCGGCCUGAGAGGGUGGCCUGCCACAUUGGGACUGGGACACGGCCCAGACUCCUACGGGAGGCAGCAGUGGGGAAGAUUGCACAAUGGGCGGAAGCCUGAUGCAGCGACGCCGCGUGGGGGAUGACGGCCUUCGGGUUGUAAACUCCUUUCACCAUCGACGAAGGUUUUCUGACGGUAGAUGGAGAAGAAGCACCGGCUAACUACGUG
rnacentral:rRNA from 1 species